UACGAAGGGUGCAAGCGUUACUCGGAAUUACUGGGCGUAAAGCGUGCGCAGGCGGUUUUGUAAGUCUGUCGUGAAAUCCCCGGGCUCAACCUGGGAAUUGCGAUGGAGACUGCACGGCUAGAGUGUGUCAGAGGGGGGGUAGAAUUCCACGUGUAGCAGUGAAAUGCGUAGAGAUGUGGAGGAAUACCGAUGGCGAAGGCAGCCCCCUGGGAUAACACUGACGCUCAUGCACGAAAGCGUGGGGAGCAAACAGG
rnacentral:rRNA from 1 species